UGGGGAAUCUUGCGCAAUGGGCGAAAGCCUGACGCAGCAACGCCGCGUGAGGGAAGAAGGCCUUCGGGUUGUAAACCUCUUUCAGUAGGGACGAAGCUUCCGGGGUUAAUAGCCUACGGGGUGACGGUACCUACAGAAGAAGCCCCGGCUAACUACGUGCCAGCAGCCGCGGUAAUACGUAGGGGGCAAGCGUUGUCCGGAAUCAUUGGGCGUAAAGCGCGUGUAGGCGGCUUGGUAAGUCUGGCGUGAAAUCUUGGGGCUCAACCCCAAGCCUGCGCUGGAUACUGCCUCGCUCGAGUCCGGGAGAGGAAAGCGGAAUUCCCAGUGUAGCGGUGAAAUGCGCAGAUAUUGGGAAGAACACCGAUGGCGAAGGCAGCUUUCUGGAACGGUACUGACGCUGAGACGCGAAAGCGUGGGGAGCAAACAGG
rnacentral:rRNA from 1 species